GAUCAUGGCUCAGGACGAACGCUGGCGGCGUGCCUAACACAUGCAAGUCGAGCGGGAGACAGUGAGUAGCUUGCUAUGAGCUGUUUUAGCGGCGGACGGUGAGUAACGCGUGAGCAACCUUUCCCAGACAGGGGAAUAACACACCGAAAGGUGUACUAAUACCGCAUAAGACCACGGGAUCACAUGGUUCUGGGGUAAAAGAUUUAUCGGUUUGGGUGGGCUCGCGUCCGAUUAGGUAGUUGGUGAGGGUAACCGG
rnacentral:rRNA from 1 species